rnacentral:sRNA from 1 species
GCUGGGUGCGGUGGUGCACGCCUGUAAUCCCAGCGGCUUGGGAGGCUGAGGCAGGAGGAUUGCAAGUUCAAAGCCAGCCUCAGCAACUCAACGAGACCCUGUCUCUA